rnacentral:rRNA from 1 species
UUAAGUUAUUAAGGGCGCACGGUGGAUGCCUUGGCACUAGAAGCCGAUGAAGGACGUUACUAACGACGAUAUGCUUUGGGGAGCUGUAAGUAAGCUUUGAUCCAGAGAUUUCCGAAUGGGGAAACCCAGCAUGAGUUAUGUCAUGUUAUCGAUAUGUGAAUACAUAGCAUAUCAGAAGGCACACCCGGAGAACUGAAACAUCUUAGUACCCGGAGGAAGAGAAAGAAAAUUCGAUUCCCUUAGUAGCGGCGAGCGAAACGGGAAGAGCCCAAACCAACAAGCUUGCUUGUUGGGGUUGUAGGACACUCUAUACGGAGUUACAAAGGACGACAUUAGACGAAUCAUCUGGAAAGAUGAAUCAAAGAAGGUAAUAAUCCUGUAGUCGAAAAUGUUGUCUCUCUUGAGUGGAUCCUGAGUACGACGGAGCACGUGAAAUUCCGUCGGAAUCUGGGAGGACCAUCUCCUAAGGCUAAAUACUCUCUAGUGACCGAUAGUGAACCAGUACCGUGAGGGAAAGGUGAAAAGCACCCCGGAAGGGGAGUGAAAUAGAACCUGAAACCGUGUGCUUACAAGUAGUCAGAGCCCGUUAAUGGGUGAUGGCGUGCCUUUUGUAGAAUGAACCGGCGAGUUACGAUUUGAUGCAAGGUUAAGCAGUAAAUGUGGAGCCGUAGCGAAAGCGAGUCUGAAUAGGGCGUUUAGUAUUUGGUCGUAGACCCGAAACCAGGUGAUCUACCCUUGGUCAGGUUGAAGUUCAGGUAACACUGAAUGGAGGACCGAACCGACUUACGUUGAAAAGUGAGCGGAUGAACUGAGGGUAGCGGAGAAAUUCCAAUCGAACCUGGAGAUAGCUGGUUCUCUCCGAAAUAGCUUUAGGGCUAGCCUCAAGUGAUGAUUAUUGGAGGUAGAGCACUGUUUGGACGAGGGGCCCCUCUCGGGUUACCGAAUUCAGACAAACUCCGAAUGCCAAUUAAUUUAACUUGGGAGUCAGAACAUGGGUGAUAAGGUCCGUGUUCGAAAGGGAAACAGCCCAGACCACCAGCUAAGGUCCCAAAAUAUAUGUUAAGUGGAAAAGGAUGUGGCGUUGCCCAGACAACUAGGAUGUUGGCUUAGAAGCAGCCAUCAUUUAAAGAGUGCGUAAUAGCUCACUAGUCGAGUGACACUGCGCCGAAAUGUACCGGGGCUAAACAUAUUACCGAAGCUGUGGAUUGUCCUUUGGACAAUGGUAGGAGAGCGUUCUAAGGGCGUUGAAGCAUGAUCGUAAGGACAUGUGGAGCGCUUAGAAGUGAGAAUGCCGGUGUGAGUAGCGAAAGACGGGUGAGAAUCCCGUCCACCGAUUGACUAAGGUUUCCAGAGGAAGGCUCGUCCGCUCUGGGUUAGUCGGGUCCUAAGCUGAGGCCGACAGGCGUAGGCGAUGGAUAACAGGUUGAUAUUCCUGUACCACCUAUAAUCGUUUUAAUCGAUGGGGGGACGCAGUAGGAUAGGCGAAGCGUGCGAUUGGAUUGCACGUCUAAGCAGUAAGGCUGAGUAUUAGGCAAAUCCGGUACUCGUUAAGGCUGAGCUGUGAUGGGGAGAAGACAUUGUGUCUUCGAGUCGUUGAUUUCACACUGCCGAGAAAAGCCUCUAGAUAGAAAAUAGGUGCCCGUACCGCAAACCGACACAGGUAGUCAAGAUGAGAAUUCUAAGGUGAGCGAGCGAACUCUCGUUAAGGAACUCGGCAAAAUGACCCCGUAACUUCGGGAGAAGGGGUGCUCUUUAGGGUUAACGCCCAGAAGAGCCGCAGUGAAUAGGCCCAAGCGACUGUUUAUCAAAAACACAGGUCUCUGCUAAACCGUAAGGUGAUGUAUAGGGGCUGACGCCUGCCCGGUGCUGGAAGGUUAAGAGGAGUGGUUAGCUUCUGCGAAGCUACGAAUCGAAGCCCCAGUAAACGGCGGCCGUAACUAUAACGGUCCUAAGGUAGCGAAAUUCCUUGUCGGGUAAGUUCCGACCCGCACGAAAGGCGUAACGAUUUGGGCACUGUCUCAACGAGAGACUCGGUGAAAUCAUAGUACCUGUGAAGAUGCAGGUUACCCGCGACAGGACGGAAAGACCCCGUGGAGCUUUACUGUAGCCUGAUAUUGAAAUUCGGCACAGCUUGUACAGGAUAGGUAGGAGCCUUUGAAACGUGAGCGCUAGCUUACGUGGAGGCGCUGGUGGGAUACUACCCUAGCUGUGUUGGCUUUCUAACCCGCACCACUUAUCGUGGUGGGAGACAGUGUCAGGCGGGCAGUUUGACUGGGGCGGUCGCCUCCUAAAAGGUAACGGAGGCGCUCAAAGGUUCCCUCAGAAUGGUUGGAAAUCAUUCAUAGAGUGUAAAGGCAUAAGGGAGCUUGACUGCGAGACCUACAAGUCGAGCAGGGUCGAAAGACGGACUUAGUGAUCCGGUGGUUCCGCAUGGAAGGGCCAUCGCUCAACGGAUAAAAGCUACCCCGGGAUAACAGGCUUAUCUCCCCCAAGAGUUCACAUCGACGGGGAGGUUUGGCACCUCGAUGUCGGCUCAUCGCAUCCUGGGGCUGUAGUCGGUCCCAAGGGUUGGGCUGUUCGCCCAUUAAAGCGGUACGCGAGCUGGGUUCAGAACGUCGUGAGACAGUUCGGUCCCUAUCCGUCGUGGGCGUAGGAAAUUUGAGAGGAGCUGUCCUUAGUACGAGAGGACCGGGAUGGACAUACCUCUGGUGUACCAGUUGUCGUGCCAACGGCAUAGCUGGGUAGCUAUGUGUGGACGGGAUAAGUGCUGAAAGCAUCUAAGCAUGAAGCCCCCCUCAAGAUGAGAUUUCCCAACUUCGGUUAUAAGAUCCCUCAAAGAUGAUGAGGUUAAUAGGUUCGAGGUGGAAGCAUGGUGACAUGUGGAGCUGACGAAUACUAAUCAAUCGAAGACUUAAUCAA